AGCAGCAGCCGCGGUAAUACAGAGGGUGCGAGCGUUAAUCGGAUUUACUGGGCGUAAAGCGUGCGUAGGCGGCUUCUUAAGUCGGAUGUGAAAUCCCUGAGCUUAACUUAGGAAUUGCAUUCGAUACUGGGAAGCUAGAGUAUGGGAGAGGAUGGUAGAAUUCCAGGUGUAUCGGUGAAAUGCGUAGAGAUCUGGAGGAAUACCGAUGGCGAAGGCAGCCAUCUGGCCUAAUACUGACGCUGAGGUACGAAAGCAUGGGGAGCAAACAGGAUUAGAUACCCCUGUAGUCCCUGUCUCUUAUAC
rnacentral:rRNA from 1 species